AACGAACGCUGGCGGCGCGCCUAAUACAUGCAAGUCGAGCGAGAAGACGUAGCAAUACGUUUGUAAAGCGGCGAACGGGUGAGGAAUACAUGGGUAACCUACCCUCGAGUGGGGAAUAACUAGCCGAAAGGUUAGCUAAUACCGCGUACGCUCCUUGGACUUCGGUUCAGGGAGGAAAGCGAUACCGUGGGUAUCGCGCUCUUGGAUGGGCUCAUGUCCUAUCAGCUUGUUGGUGAGGUAACGGCUCACCAAGGCUUCGACGGGUAGCUGGUCUGAGAGGACGAUCAGCCACACUGGCACUGCGACACGGGCCAGACUCCUACGGGAGGCAGCAGUAAGGAAUAUUGCGCAAUGGGCGAAAGCCUGACGCAGCGACGCCGCGUGGGGGAUGAAGGUCUUCGGAUUGUAAACCCCUUUCGGGUAGGGAAGGAUGGAACGAGCAAUCGUUCGGACGGUACCUCCAGAAGCAGCCACGGCUAACUUCGUGCCAGCCG
rnacentral:rRNA from 1 species